ACCUCCUCCUGGCCUCCUCCUGACCCCCUCCUGACCUCCUCCUGACCUCCUCCUGACCCCCUGCUGACCUCCUCCUGACCUCCUCCUGACCCCCUGCUGACCCCCUGCUGACCUCCUCCUGACCUCCUCCUGACCUCCUCCUGACCUCCUCCUGACCCCCUGCUGACCUCCUGCUGACCUCCUGCUGACCUCCAGAAGGUCUGAAAAUAAAGAAAAACCCAUUGAAUGAGCAGGUGUUCUAAAACAUUAACAGAGUAGCAAUGAGCAGAUGUUCUAAAACAUUAACAGAGUAUCAAUGAGCAGGUGUUCUAAAACAUUAACAGAGUAUCAAUGAGCAGGUGUUCUAAAACAUUAACAGAGUAUCAAUGAGCAGGUGUUCUAAAACAUUAACAGAGUAUCAAUGAGCAGGUGUUCUAAAACAUUAACAGAGUAUCAAUGAGCAGGUGUUCUAAAACAUUAACAGAGUAUCAAUGAGCAGGUGUUCUAAAACAUUAACAGAGUAUCAAUGAGCAGGUGUUCUAAAACAUUAACAGAGUAUCAAUGAGCAGGUGUUCUAAAACAUUAACAGAGUAUCAAUGAGCAGGUGUUCUAAAACAUUAACAGAGUAUCAAUGAGCAGGUGUUCUAAAACAUUAACAGAGUAUCAAUGAGCAGGUGUUCUAAAACAUUAACAGAGUAUCAAUGAGCAGGUGUUCUAAAACAUUAACAGAGUAUCAAUGAGCAGGUGUUCUAAAACAUUAACAGAGUAUCAAUGAGCAGGUGUUCUAAAACAUUAACAGAGUAUCAAUGAGCAGGUGUUCUAAAACAUUAACAGAGUAUCAAUGAGCAGGUGUUCUAAAACAUUAACAGAGUAUCAAUGAGCAGGUGUUCUAAAACAUUAACAGAGUAUCAAUGAGCAGGUGUUCUAAAACAUUAACAGAGUAUCAAUGAGCAGGUGUUCUAAAACAUUAACAGAGUAGCCCUCCUUGUCGCCCUUAGGACUAAACCAAGUCGUGUGAAAACAGGGGAGGACUUCCCUUUAGCAGGUAAAUAAAUGACACACAAUGAAUACACGACAUGAAUAACCAACACUCAGGUACUGUGAGUAUAUCCAACAUUAUCAAACUGCAAAACCUUUUAGUUUACAUAACUAACACCAAAACAAUUUAAAAUAUUCCUGUGUACAUUGACGUUUAACACAGAAGUUGACAAGGCCACAUUCCCUAUGAUCACUGCAUUUAACUGGCGGCCGUCUGGCUAAUAUGCACAGUGUGUCACGUUCUGACCUUUAUUUCCUUUGUUUUGUAUUUAUUUAGUAUGGUCAGGGCGUGAGUUGGGGUGGGCAGUCUAUGUUUGUAUUUCUAUGAUUUGGGGAUUUCUAUGUUUCGACCAAGUAUGGUUCUCAAUCAGAGGCAGGUGUCAUUAGUUGUCUCUGAUUGAGAAUCAUACUUAGGUAGCCUGUUUUGUCAUUGUGGGUUGUGGGUGAUUGUCUAUGUCAGUUGCUUGUGUCAGAAUAGUUCUCAUUAUAGCUUCACGGUCGUUAUUCGUUUAUUGUUUUGUAUAGUUUGUAUUCAGUUGUUCAGUGCUUUCGUUUAUUAAUAAAUCAUCAUGAACACAUACCACGCUGCAUUU